CGUAGGGGGCGAGCGUUGUCCGGAAUUAUUGGGCGUAAAGAGCGUGUAGGCGGUUCGGUAAGUCUGCCGUGAAAACCUGGGGCUCAACCCCAGGCGUGCGGUGGAUACUGCCGGGCUAGAGGGUGGUAGAGGCGAGUGGAAUUCCCGGUGUAGCGGUGAAAUGCGCAGAUAUCGGGAGGAACACCAGUAGCGAAGGCGGCUCGCUGGGCCAUACCUGACGCUGAGACGCGAAAGCGUGGGGAGCAAACAGGAUUAGAUACCCUGGUAGUCCACGCCGUAAACGAUGAACACUAGGUGUGGGCGGAGUCGAAUCUGUCCGUGCCGCAGCCAACGCGUUAAGUGUUCCGCCUGGGGAGUACGGCCGCAAGGCUA
rnacentral:rRNA from 1 species